rnacentral:tRNA from 1 species
GGCCGGUUAGCUCAGUCAGUUAGAGCAUGGUGCUGAUAACACCAAGGUUGCGGGUUUGAUUCCUGUUCGGUCC